GCACUUGUACCUAACUUUACACUGCAGAUUAUUUACGUCUUCAUUAACAGUAUUUUCUCAAAACCUAAACGUGUCACUCGACUCUGACUUUGUCCGCGACACGCUGGCACCAUGACAGUGUUUGAAAACUGUACUGUGGUGUUAGAUGUGAAGAACCUGCCUUUUAGAGAGAAGAAUAAACUGAGAUUAGCUCUUCUGGAGAAUGGAGGAAACAUCUCAUAUGUCAUGAACAAAGAGUGCUCUUUUGUAGUCACUAGCAGUGUGAAUGAUCUGAGCAGUAACCGGCAGCGCAGCAUCCAGAAGCU